GGGGAAUAUUGGGCAAUGGGCGCAAGCCUGACCCAGCAACGCCGCGUGAAGGAAGAAGGCUUUCGGGUUGUAAACUUCUUUUGUCAGGGACGAGUAGAAGACGGUACCUGACGAAUAAGCCACGGCUAACUACGUGCCAGCAGCCGCGGUAAUACGUAGGUGGCAAGCGUUGUCCGGGUUUACUGGGUGUAAAGGGCGUGUAGCCGGGAGGGCAAGUCAGAUGUGAAAUCCACGGGCUUAACUCGUGAACUGCAUUUGAAACUGUUCUUCUUGAGUAUCGGAGAGGCAGUCGGAAUUCCUAGUGUAGCGGUGAAAUGCGUAGAUAUUAGGAGGAACACCAGUGGCGAAGGCGGAUUGCUGGACGACAACUGACGGUGAGGCGCGAAAGCGUGGGGAGCAAAC
rnacentral:rRNA from 1 species